rnacentral:rRNA from 1 species
UGAGUAAUGUCUGGGAAACUGCCCGAUGGAGGGGGAUAACUACUGGAAACGGUAGCUAAUACCGCAUAACGUCGCAAGACCAAAGAGGGGGACCUUCGGGCCUCUUGCCAUCGGAUGUGCCCAGAUGGGAUUAGCUAGUAGGUGGGGUAACGGCUCACCUAGGCGACGAUCCCUAGCUGGUCUGAGAGGAUGACCAGCCACACUGGAACUGAGACACGGUCCAGACUCCUACGGGAGGCAGCAGUGGGGAAUAUUGCACAAUGGGCGCAAGCCUGAUGCAGCCAUGCCGCGUGUAUGAAGAAGGCCUUCGGGUUGUAAAGUACUUUCAGCGAGGAGGAAG